CCGCAAUGGGCGAAAGCCUGACGGAGCAAUACCGCGUGAGGGAGGAAGGCUCUUGGGUCGUAAACCUCUUUUCUCAGGGAAGAAAAAAAUGACGGUACCUGAGGAAUAAGCAUCGGCUAACUCCGUGCCAGCAGCCGCGGUAAUACGGAGGAUGCAAGCGUUAUCCGGAAUGAUUGGGCGUAAAGGGUCCGCAGGUGGCGAUGAAAGUCUGCUGUUAAAGAGUCUAGCUCAACUAGAUAAGAGCAGUGGAAACUACAUAGCUAGAGUACGUUCGGGGCAGAGGGAAUUCCUGGUGUAGCGGUGAAAUGCGUAGAGAUCAGGAAGAACACCAGUGGCGAAGGCGCUCUGCUAGGCCGUAACUGACACUGAGGGACGAAAGCUAGGGGAGCGAAUGGGAUUAGAUACCCCWGUAGUC
rnacentral:rRNA from 1 species